GGAGGAGGAGGAGGAGGGAUGCCACACAGACAUGCACAAACUUGAAGGCAGAGGGACUUGGAAGGGGCUACUGAGCAAACCCUGGUGGCAUGAUGCUGGGGAGGAGGAGAAGGGGAAGAGCCUUGACUCUGUGUUUUAGGUGCUUUAAAAAAAAGGCAUCCUGCAAAAGGGUCUGAGGGAAACGGCUGGUACUCACGGUUUCUGCGUUGCUGUGAAUCCUGAAGGUGUUCUGUUGGCACCGGGCGCUGAGCCAGGGGCAGGCGCUGGAAACAAAAGGGAGACACACACAAAAAAUUAAAGUCAUUCAAUGGGAAUAUUAAUUGCUGCUCUUGUGGAUUUUACAAAACACACAAACUGUUUUCAUUUUUUGUUCCUUUUUUUUUUUUAAUUGUGGAUUGGCGCGUGCCCCUUUCGCAUGGAAUAUACAAGUAGUAUGGGAUUUACAGUCCAGUUACGGGACUCAGGAUUAACCGCGCUGGCAUCUUUUGGGCAUAUCCUUCCUUUUAAUGAAUGAGCUUUCGCUGUUAAUGAGGAAUAAUCGUUUGGCUAAUGAGCUUUGAAACAUUAAGAGAAAAGAGGUUUUUUUUUCCCCCCCGUUAAUCGCUCUGGUGCGACUGCAUGGAUGGAUUACAAAAGACAGCACUAGAGUGCAGUACAAAGGUUGGGGGAGCUCCUCGGGAGUGGGAGAAGCACCGAGUGGGUGAUGUGCCCCUGCAUCUCUCCUUCCUUCUCUCUUUCCAUCUCUCUGCCAACUGCUAUGGGUUUCCAUAACUCCGCAAUCGAAGUGAAUGGUCGGGAAGGAUUAUUAUACUGAGUAAAGCCUCCGCUGUUAAUGUCUCCAGUGUUUAAUCAUCAUACAGUAGAAUGGUUUUAUGCAUAUUUCAUUUGCAUAUCAUUAAACCAUGUUAGUGAGGGGCACUCAAAGCCAAGAGAAGCGCAAAGUUGGGAAGCCAGGAAAGGAAAAAGAGAUCCCUAUGAUGCUUAUCUUCAAACGGGGGCUUGCUCCAUGAUGUGUCUUCUGCCUUUCUAAAAAUCAUUAUGACUUGGAAACCUUUGAAGUUGGAUACAACCUUGGAUUCCUCUAAUUCCUGCAGAGCGGUAUAUUUUUAAGAUCGGCAGCAAUGUCCCUGCACUAGACGAUUAAAGGAAUAUAAACUCCAGUGGGCUGAGACUAGUAGCUCUUUGGGGAACACAGUGUCAGAGGCUUCUACAAAUACCAACACUUAAAAAAAAAAUAAUAAAGAACGUCAUACCAAAAACAAAGAAAGAAGACAAGAGAUGUUAAUAUGUGGAUUAUAUUUGUUUCGUUUUGGGGGGCGGUUAGAGUGAAGAAGUCAUUGGUAAUUUAUCCCCUCAUUAAUGAAGCCACCUUUUUUAUUUGUGUUUGUUUUUAUCCUUUAAUUGUGAAGAUGGGUGCUGUCCCUUUUGAAAUGGUUAACCAGUUAUUGUGUAGCUCUGAUCUUUCCCCCACCCCAUACCUGACAGAAAAGAAAGGUGGUGGUAUGGGCAGAUGUGAGUACUGGGAAUAUCUGGGGGAAGUGGGAAAUACAGUGAGUUCUUUGUGGAUCUUAUACAUGCUCAACAUAUUAAUUGAGGGCUUUUAAAGUUCCCUCAAUAGGCUAUUUCAUUCUUGGUAAAACAGCAGCUGGUUAGCCACUGUUGGUGACUCUUCAAAUAUCACUUUAACGAUUUUUAUUCUGUUGCCGUCCAUUUUUGUUUUUCUGUAGCCAAGAAGGAGGAUGUAAUACUGCUUUCUUAACCAUGCCUCUUCUGUCUUCUUUACAUCCUAUUUUCGAACUGUGAAACGAUGUUGGUUUAAUAUUGAAUCCUGGUGCACAGUGUAACGGCACAACUUGAUUUGGAAAUGAGAUGCUGGCUUAUAUUUAAAUUAUCUCCACUCCUCCCUUAUCCUCCAAAGCUUUGUCUCUGCUAUGAAUAUUCAGAUGAGGCAUGAUGUGAUUACACUGUACAAUUACUCCUAUCCAUGGUGGUGGCAGGCGCUGCUGGGGAGAAAGAGCCAGACAGCCUCCAAGCCAGUGUGGAGUUUUGUUUUCGGUAUUUUUUUUUCCUAUCUCCUGGCACCACGGCACAUGCAGAUGUCGCUGUUGUUCUUUAUAAAGCUCUAAUGACAUGCAAAGGCAUAACGACUUGGUUUGGACGCAAAGCAUCAACUGAAUGCUAUGGAUGUCUUUAAGAAAGAGAAAGAGAAAAUCCUGACUGAAGGAAUGUCCACAUAAAUUAUUUUUAUUUAAAUGAAUUCAAAGGAUGGGGUGAGGGCAAGUGAGAAAGAGUCACAUGGAAAACAUGCAUAAUAUUAAUAUGCACAAAGAAUUCUUACCGAGGACAAGCUCCUCACUACUGCUCAUGGGACAAACAGGUUCAUUAGGACACAGCUCUGAGCGACUACAGCAUUUUGGUAUUUCGAUUUUUUUUCCCCUUAUUUUAAACGAAGAGUCAGACAGAUGUGCUUUCUUUGCAUGAGAGCAUUGAGAUGGAUCCAAUCUGUGAAAUUUGCUGCCCAAAUAGCAUUUCUAAUGGAAUCUGGGACUAAACAAGGGCCUGGAUGUGGAAGGGAGGGGAGAAGAGAGAACCCACGAAGAGGAGGCUACUCAGCCACUGCAAGGUUUUUCGUAGCACAGGAAGCUGUCAGAAGCCAUCUUUGCUCCACUGGUCCCAGGUGUGGGCUCCUGAUCCAGAGAGCCAUCAGGGUUCACCAAGAUGAACACUGAGCAGGCCCUUGUAGGUCUGAGGCAGAGGAAAGCAGCAGCAGCAGCUUGGUGCCUACUCCCUCCCAGCUCAGUGGCCUUCCGCUCAGAAGCCAAAAGCCCAGCUACUAUUUUGGGAUGCAAUAGAAUGCCUCCUGGUCCAGGCAUCUGUGGAAGAAGGAAUUUCUUGAUGCUCUCGCAGAGUGUGUUGCUAAAGAGCAGAAGGGAUCAUCCGCUGCUUAAGGAGGCCUGAUAAUUGCUGUGCCGGUUGGUUCUCAGGGUAAUGACUGCUGGGCUUCUCUAACAUUUCGGAGUGCUGGCGUGAUGAGUAUCCAUUUAGUGCAUGUUUACAUUAGGCAGAGGGAGACAGACAGGGACUGAGUCUGUUGGGUGGAUUCAGAGCUAGGAACAUAUUUGUACCACUUCUCAGGUUUCAAAGGAGUAGCAGAGGGUAAAGCUAUCAGUUAGAAGAUUUUGUUGAUUUUUUUUCUUGGCCAGGUGGAUAGUCCAAAGUACUUUGAUAAGUGGGUUACAUUUAGAUCUUUUGUUUAAAUUGUAUGAAGGAAGUCUAAAUUUGAUCUGCGUAUCUGCACAACUUUCUACUUAAGGCUGGCCUAGAACAGGUCCAAUUGUAAUUAUGCUAUAAAUUGUGAUUUUUUACCUACAAUCUCCAUAAUUUCCAUCACACACACACAAACACACACACCAUACACACAUACACACACACACACACAUACAUAAACACAUACACACACACAUACACACUUCAGCUGUCAUGAUAUGUAAGUGUUGUUACAAAGAAUGGAGAAUUAAAGCUCUGGGAAAUUUCUAUUUAAUCUUAAUUAUUCUAGCCUCUAACCUCUUAUUUCUCCGUUGCCAGAAUUGUGGGUAUUAGAUUUUUGAAGUAAUACAUGUAGAGAUUUUGGUGCAGAGUCUGUAAAUAGCAAGCCUUAAAUACACGUCAAAUUUUGAUAUUGCUAUUGUUGCUAUUCCGGUGUACUGCUUAGUAUUUGAGAGAGUUAAAGAAAGGAAAUAUUUACUUCUUAGCUGUACAAGGUAUAGUGAGAAAGAUUAGCUAGGUACGUAGAGUAAACAGUGCCCUGGUCUACAUGACUCUGGGCUUCAGUCUGACUCUGACUGCAGAUCAUUUAGGUUAGCUAGGUACGUAGAGUAAACAGUGCCCUGGUCUACAUGACUCUGGGCUUCAGUCUGACUCUGACUACAGAUCAUUUAGGUGUUCUUCACUUUACUUCUUUCAAAUGAAUACAACUCCGGGAUGACAGUCACGGUGGUGAUAUCUGUGAUCUGACAGAGAGUUCUAUCAUAGUUUGUGAGAAGGACACAGGACUGAGACGCGUUCAUCAUUUGAUCCUACUGAUGACCAAGUCAGUCUUAAAAAAAGAAAAAGACAUCGGGAUCUCUCACUUUGCUCAUUUCAAAUCUGCCGACCUCCCAGACACAUGGCCCAUGGAAAACUGAAAGACCCUAAUGCCCUGAAACACCCGCUGGAAUCCGGAUUCUGCACUCAGUCCUCCCAGCUGAGCACCCAGGUUCUCAUGGUCACCUACUCGAGCACCGUGAGGCACACCUGAAUCCUGCUCUUUGCUAUCUUCAUCCUUGAUUCCUUACAGAUUCAAAUCUACUCGGUACCCUCCCCCAGUCAUUCUUACUCAGCAUCCUUAAGUUCAAGUUUCUAUAAUGGGUUAAAAACUUCUACUUUUUAUUCUUCUUUUGGGUCUAACAAAUCUCCCAAAACUUACUGAAUAAGAAUUGUUGUUUUCAGAUGUCUAUUAUAAAAAUCCUACUUCUAAAGUGUUAGAAGAUGCCAAACCGUCAAUUAAUGUCAUCACUUAUUUUUCUAGAACUAGGCUUGCGAUCUCUUCUUUGAAUAACAAAAUACAUUUUCCUUUAGAACAUACAAUUAUAAUAGCAUGUUUUACUUUUUAAAAGUUAUCCACUUUAUCCCUGAGGACUAGCUUUCCUGGUACCAGAAGGCUCCAUGCUAGCUUCCAAGCAGCUAAUAGUCCUGUCCUGCUCUGUGCCUCUGAACCAAAACAAUGACUGCCAGGACACAAUUUGCAAAAGGGGCAUACACAACUUGGUGAUAACCAACAGCUGCUGAAUUGGACUUAAGGUCAUCUCAACAAGAAGAAAACCAUGCCUUGUACUGAAAACCUAGUCAACUCCCCGAGGCUAGUAAAGUCACUGAUCUGGGAGGAGAACCCUAAACCCACCACGUCAUUAAACCAUCAUAAUAACUACAUCCUAAGUAUUUAUACUUUUAUCCAUAUGUUAGUCUUAUCUCUUAUCAAAGAAGCCUUUCCUUAUAAUAGUCAGACAUGACUGCACAAAGUCACAACUACACAAAAUGCAGAGAACGAGUGAGCAUGUGCUGCCUAGUCCCAACCGAUCCAUCUACAAUACCACACCUGGUCAGGAUGCAUCAUGAAAGAUUAGGGAAAAGAUGGUCAACAGCCAAACUGCAGUAAGUUUGCUGUGAGAUUUUACUACUAGGAAUAUCAGAGAAGAUAAACCCAGGAGUCAGUCCCAUUAGCAUGGAUGCCUUAACAAACUCUGAACAAGGACAACAUUGAUAGACAUGCUACUAUGGGAGGGAGAAAUUGCAUUAGGCCUCAAGCCUAGUCAAAGGACUAUAGUUAACUAAGGGAUGAUGAGAACUGGAGAAACCACAGUGAUCCAACACUAGGUGGUUAUCUCUGAAAUCAUAUACCUACAAGUAACACUAUGGGGACUGUGAAGGUUGUGUUUGUAUAUUUAGGGAUGUAUAGGCAUAUAUAUGUGUAUCACAACAAUUAAAGGAAUAGAGAGCAUAUAUUUGACAGAGAACAAGAGGGGUAUAAGGGAAUGGUUGGAGUGAGGAAAGACAGGGGAAUGAUGUAAUUAUAUUUUAAGUUAAAAAAUAAUUAAAUAAAAAGUUCUCUAAGCUGUCUAAUCAUCAAUAUAAGCCUGUGAAAGUAACCUUAUAGAAUUAAAAUAAUAAAAUGAAAACAUGGUAAAGAAAUGCCAACAAACCAUAGAAUUUACCAGGGAUAAUUCUAUCACAUUAGGGAAUGUUCUUGAAAUAUAUUCUGAAAACUUACACUACAAUAAGCAAUAGCUGGAGCUCUGAAGUAAUAUCAAGAUCAUUUAGUCUCUUCUGUAAUUUCUUAUUAUUCACUACUUAAAUAUUGUUACAAUUAUACCAGUUUCUCAAACUGAGUAAGAAAAUAGAAAGUCUGUCAGCAAUGAAGACAGAAAAGCAUUUUUCAAAAUGAAAGCAGAGGCUUUCAAAUCAGACAGACAUUGGUAAUGGUUACCGUCCUCCAUAGAUUUAGAACCACCUAGGAGACACACUUAGGAGUGUGUCUGUAAGAGUGGUGCCCAGAGGGCUUUAACUGAGAAUCACCUCUGGAUGUGGGCAGUACUAUCCCACGGGCUCACAUCCUUGACAGCCUACAAAGAGUAACGUGAGCUGAGCACCAGCAUCCGAUUCUCUCGGCUUCCUGGCUGUGGAUGCAGGGUGACAGCUGCCUCAUGCUCCUGCUGCUCCAUCAUGUUCCAUGUGCACCAUCACGUCCUGUACUCUGAAGCCGUGAUCCAAAACAAACUCGUCCUUUCUUGAGCUGCCUUUAUCAGACAUGUGGUUACAGUGUCGAGAAAAGCAACUGACAUUACAGGCACACCUACUUCAGAAACAAAAAUACACCACAUCGCGCAGGACUGAGCGGCUACAUGCUGAACUCUAGAGGACACCAGCAGUCAGGUUCCGGUGGAGUGAGAAAGAUUACAUGUAUUUCACAGGCAUGGAGACGUGGGGGUAACACUGUAGUUUGAUGUUGGGACCUGGUGUAGUCUCCUUUCUUGAAGGAUGUGGCCAAGGAUGAAUGCCAAGGCCUUGAUAUUACUCUAUACUGAACACCCAAAUGCUAGCCCAAGACCUGCAGUCUUAGGGAAGGAAACCAGACACAGGCCACUGAAAGACUAUCAUAUCGAGAAAUGAACCACAUUCCAAAGAUCACACGAAUGGGAUACUAACAAAAGGUAUUCAAAACAAUCAACAAACCAACUGUCAGAAAACUGAUACGUUCCACACAAAAUUAGUUUUAUUGAAACCAUCUGGCAAUGACAUUAGGGAAGUACAUUUAAGAUUUCUGAAGUCAGAGAUGAUGAAAUAAUUUCUGGUACAAAGCAAUAAGAAAUCAUAAAGAAGCAGAAGUAGAGUAAGAACAAGCAGAUGUAAGAGAAAUUAAAACUCAGAGCCACUGAAGUUAGAGACUCAAUAGCAUGGGCAAGCUUCGUUUUGGGUCUUGUAUACAAAGCCCCGAGGAAUAGAUUUUAAAAGCUAUUAAAUUUGUGAAAUGAGUUCAUCAAGAUUUCAGACUAAGAUACCAACAUCUAAAGUCACCUACUUCUCUAUAUCCUACCAAUAUAUCAAUAUAAUUUAAAAGUAAAUUAAGUGAAUAAUUCCAUUUGUGAUAGCAUUAAUAAAAAACCACCUGUGAAUAAAUUUAACAACAGAGGUGCAGGUUUACAACUAAAAAUUAAGAGAACAUGGUUAGACAGAGGAAAUUCAAAUUUUAAACUCCUCAGUAAAUGGAAAGAGAUUUUAAAAUACACCCUUAUAUGUCUCAGCUGAUUUUUCAACAAGGCUGAAGAGGUUAAAAAAAAAAAAAAAAAAAAAGGAAGUUUGACAAAAGACACAUCCACAUGCAAAACAACGAAGCAGUUUUACCUCCCAAUGUAUGUGUGAUUCCAUAGCAACAGAGGAAAGAUUCAAAUGUAAAGGCUAAAAGCACCAAAGAGAAAACCAGAGGGUGGAUGUUCUCGGCUUCGCCUCGGGGAUGACUUCUUGGGCAUGCUGAGCUAUUACAGAAAGGAUGGAUGUCCUAGGCAUCAUCAUUUCUUAAACUGAGACAGAGUCUCAUUAUGUACCUAAAGACAUACUUCACUUGGCAUUCUCUUGGCUUGGCCUCUCCAUGCUGGAAUUAGAUAUAAAGAAGUAUUGCCAGGCUAGGCUAAAACAAAACCAAAACUGAAACAAACAAACUUUUGUUCUUUGGAGAGUAUCAAGAAGAUAAAAUGAUAACCGACAGAGAAACUGUCUGCAGGUUAUAUAUCUGGUAAGAAACUCGUAUUCAUGGUGGGCAAAGGACGCAUGCAGCUCAAUAAGAAAAAGAAGACUAAAAUUGAAUCUUUAAACUGUUAAAGGAUAUAGAUGGAUUUUUUUUUCUGAAGAAAAUACAGAAAUAAGCCGGGCAUGGUAGCGUAUACCUUUGAUUCUAGUACUUGGGAGAGGCAGGUGGAUCCCUGUGAGUCCAAGGCCAGCCUGGUCAACAUAACAUGAUCCAGGUCAGUCAGGAAUACCUACAUAGUGAGACCCUAUUUCAUCAUCUAUCUCCAAAAAAGUAAUAAAAAAAAUUUUUAAAAAGGAAAGGAAAAAAAGAAAUGAUAAAAACACGUGAAAAGAUACUCAACAGUCAUUAAAAUGGUGUUCAGACCUCGGUGAUGCUAAUUUGUAUCUACUUGGUAUAUAACAAAACAAGCUGGAAGGAAGAGACACCUUACAGAAUAGGGCGAAAUCUUUGCUAAGUAAAAAUAAAGGCAAAGCAUUUCAAGAGAUAGGAUAAAGAAGAACUUCAUGAAAAGGGCUCACAGAGCAAAGAAAUAACCAUCUGCUAUCCAAUGUGGCAAAUACAGUCUAGGAAAUUACAAAUCUUCUGCACAGGAAAGGAACAGAGCAAAGAGGCAAAAUUCCUAGCAAAUGAUGUGGAAGACAGCAGACUACAACCUACAUUCUUUCAAACCUCAAAAAGCGAAAUACAAAACCAAAUAAAUCAUACAACCAAUAAACAAACUAAUCUGUGAAAAAGACAGUGCUUAAGGGAAGUCAUGUAUCCAGUUUUUUCCUUUCUUUCUCAGAUGACUCUGCAUUCUGUCUCCAUGCAUUUGCCCAUUCUGAACCUUGUAUAUACGUUAUCAAGUUUAAGCUUUCAUAACUGCCUGAUUCCACUUACCAUGAUGCUUUGGAGUUUCGUGUAUAUUCUGUCUCCUACCGGUACUUAAUCCCUUUCUCUACUCUCUUGAUGAGUGAAAUCACUACAUUUUGUUUAUUCAAUCAUCAUUUGAUGGAUGUUCUGACUAUUGUGAAUAAUAUUAUCUUUGUAGAUGUUUGUAUUUUCCUUGAAUAUAUCCCAGUGGGUCCCAUGUUUUUGCUUGGGGAUGUGUGAUGAAAUUAAACUGUUGUAAGGUCAUAUUUAGGUAACAGCUGUAAAACUCUAUAAAUAUGCUAAACCCUACCUGAAUAUCAUUACAAGUGAUAUAUAUUUAUGGCAUAUAAAUUAUACCUCCAUAAAGUUUACAAUGGCAAGGGAUUGGUAUGUAAACAGCCACCGAUGCUUCAAAGAUCAAUUGGGCAGCAUUUAGCAUAGCUGAUGCAUGCACAGUCUGGGCAGUUCCACUCACAGGUAUUUAGGCAGACAAAAACUCACACAUGUACACAAAGAGACGGGCGCAAGAAUGCUCACUGUGCUAUUACUUUUAAUAGUUGAGGAAUUGAAACAAUCUGUCUAUGAAGAAAUGAGUGUGUAAGCAAGUUAGGGCAUCAUUUUAUAAAUGAAAUGCCAUGGGAUACAUCAAUAGAAAGAGUGUAGAGCGCCAAGAAACAGCUCAAAAGUGGAGUGCUUGCUUAGCAUAGAUAGGUUUCAUCCCAAGUACUAAAACAAAACAAAACAAAGAAAAAAACAAAACCAAAAAUCCUCCCACAUAAACUAUAGGACCACAUCCAUGGAAUUAUAUGAUUUAUCACUCAAAAUAAUGUAAAAACUUCUGGGGAAUCAAAAUCAAGGUGUUACAAUAAGAAUAUGAUGACAUGAAUGUUAUGUAUAUCACUAUUAUUGUUUAAGAUACGCAGUAGUCCUGUCAAACUGGUAAUUUGUUAACCCAUGCAAUGGCACAUGUGUACUGUUUGUAUUAGUCUCUGCUUUCUUUGAGAUGUUCAAAAUAUAUUUUAAUACAAAAACGGAGCAGCAAAGUCUCCUGAAAAGGCA